UGCUUCUUUUCCUUAGACUGUUCCCC
rnacentral:piRNA from 1 species